rfam:Tsutu virus strain TST-BE-Richelle/2017 polyprotein gene, complete cds
UGAUAGUCAGGCCAGGGCAACCUGCCACCGGAAGUUGAGUAGACGGUGCUGCCUGCGACUCAACCCCAGGCGGACUGGGU